rnacentral:rRNA from 1 species
CAGUCGCGUUCUCUGGGAUUCAGCCUUGCUUUUGCUUGGUGCAUUUCCUAGUCUACGGGCCAGCAUGGAUUUUGGGUGCCGGAAAAGGGCGAGAGGAAUGUGGCAGCUUGCUGUGUUAUAGCCUCUUGUCGUACGCGGUGUCUGGGAUCGAGGACUGCAGCACGCCUUUGGUCGGGGUUCCCCACGCCACGUGCUUAGAAUGCUGGCGUAAUGGCUUUAAACGACCCGUCUUGAAACACGGACCAAGG